CUGGAGGAGGCUGUGACCCAUGUAGAGCCCCCAUAGGAGCAGGGGGCCCGGAGGGAGGAAGGCAUCCCAUGGGAGGGACCCCACGUGGGCAGAGAGUGACUGAGAAGGAGCAGGCGGAAAUGAGGUGUUAGGCCCUGACCACAGCCCUCGUUCCCUGUUCUCCUGUGCUGCUUGGGGGGAGGAGGUGGAAGAAGGUAGAUGGAGGAAAGGUGUUUUUUAGUUUUGUUUCUCACUGCUCUAGCUUGUUAGUAAUAGGUAAUAAAUUUUAUUAAUCUUCCUAUGCUGAGUCUCUUUUGGCUGUGUUGAUAAUUAUCUCCCUGGCCUUAUCUCAACCCUCAAGCCCUUUUCAUAGUAUUUUCUCCCCCUUUCCUUUUCAGAAGGGGAAUGAGAGGGUGGUUGUGGUGGAGCUCAGCUGCCCAGCAAGAUAAAACCACUACACCUAGGCAGAAAGUCAUGACAGCAACAGUCCUGUUCAGCUGGAAGCGUGAAGGAUGGCCCAAACAGAAGAUGUCUCAUAGCAGCUUCUGCAAUAGUUUGGAUCUGAACAGUCCCUGGGGUGGCCUGUUUCAGCCCAUCAGACUUGGAAAAAGUAGAAGAUGGAAGCACCUCAAUUAAGAGUCUACAGCAAGAUGGGGUGAAUAAUGGCAAGAAUAGGACUGAUUCGGAUCAGAGAAGCAUCUGACAGAAUGGAUGGUGCAGAUUUAAUGAGCAACUAAUCAAUAUUUGGUAUUCUAAUUGUUGGUAAGUGAGUGAGCACAUGCCAUCUUUUCUGAACACAUCUAAUUUUGCUACCCAUGUAGAAUAAUUAAUUUUCUCAUUAGUAUUUCUGUGGUGCUUCUCACUGAAGUAUCUCAAUUACUCAGAAAAAUUAAUUGGUGCAACUCCUUAGCACCCUGUGCAAGAAUGACACAGAGAGGCAAAGACUCUCAGGAUAUGUGAUGCUCAGAACUGGAACAACUAAGUUCUUCUGGCCAAAUUAUAUCCUCAGUUUGAUUUACUUUCAGCAGAAUAUACAUUAUGUCCUCAACUGGAGCUCUCAUCUUCCAGGGCCCUGAGAGUUAAAAGGACCAAGCUGGACCACUGGAAAAUGCAAAGGCUCUC
rnacentral:lncRNA from 1 species